rnacentral:rRNA from 1 species
UACGUAGGUGGCAAGCGUUGUCCGGAUUUACUGGGUGUAAAGGGAGCGUAGGCGGGUAACUAAGUCAGGUGUGAAAAUUAAGGGCUCAACCCUUAACGUGCACUUGAAACUGGAAAUCUUGAGUGAAGUAGAGGCAGGCGGAAUUCCGAGUGUAGCGGUGAAAUGCGUAGAUAUUCGGAGGAACACCAGUGGCGAAGGCGGCCUGCUGGGCUUUUACUGACGCUGAAGCUCGAAAGUGUGGGGAGCAAACAGGAUUAGAUACCCUGGUAGUCCACACUGUAAACGAUGAUUGCUAGGUGUGGGGGGUCUGACCCCCUCCGUGCCGGAGUUAACACAAUAAGCAAUCCACCUGGGGAGUACGGCCGCAAGGUUGAA